UACGGAGGGUGCAAGCGUUAUCCGGAUUCACUGGGUUUAAAGGGUGCGUAGGUGGGCAGUUAAGUCAGUGGUGAAAUCUCCGGGCUUAACCCGGAAACUGCCAUUGAUACUAUCUGUCUUGAAUAUUGUGGAGGUAAGCGGAAUAUGUCAUGUAGCGGUGAAAUGCUUAGAGAUGACAUAGAACACCCAUUGCGAAGGCAGCUUACUACGCAUAUAUUGACGCUGAGGCACGAAAGCGUGGGGAUCAAACAGG
rnacentral:rRNA from 1 species